UUAUUUGAAUUAUUUGAAUUAUUUGAAUUAUUUGAAUUAUUUGAAUUAUUUGAAUUAUUUGAAUUAUUUAAAUUAUUUGAAUUAUUUGAGUAUUGACAUAUUUUAAAAGCCCUUUUCAAAAAAACGAAACAUUAAAUUUACUUUUUUGCUGUUGUUGUUCUUUUGAAUAAAAAAAAAAAAAAAUUUGUUACUGGUUUUUUACUAUUUUUUACAUUUAAUUUAAUAUAUUUUAUUUUCUACUUUUAUUUUUAAUUAAAAAUUUUUUAAUUGCUAUUUUUUAUUUGCUAUUUUUUACGUUUAAUUUUUAAUUUUAUAUUUUUAAUUUUUUACAGUUCUUCUAUUUUUUAUUUGCUUCCAUCUAACAUUUGUUCUACGUUCAUCCAUUUUUUGAUCCCCGAGUAAGACUAUGCACUUUAUCGAUGAUACUUCUUACACAUCUUUGUUAGUUUUGUUGUUUUAUUAUAUUAUUUAUUAUUUUUUUAAUUUGCUAUUUAAUAAAAAUAAACUUAAAAUGGAAAGUAAAGGAGAAAAAGGGCUAUCUUUUCACGAGUACAAGAGGCGAUUAAAAAAACUAACCGAGGAAAUAAAAAAAGAAGGAAAAAAAAAGACUAUUCAUAAAGAUAAACAAAACAAAAAUUUAUUAAGACUGCAAGAAGAACUUAAUAAACUAAACGCUUUGUACAAUAACAAAGGUAAUAAAAAUGAUAACCAAAGCGAAAAAAAUGAACAGAAAAAAAAAAAUGAACGGAGUGAAAAAAAUGAACAUAAAGAAAAGGAUGAACAGAAUGAAAAGGAUGAACAAAAUGAAAAGAAUGAACAUAACGAAAAAAAUGAUCAUAGCGAAAAAAAUGAACAUAACGAAAAAAAUGAACAUAGCGAAAAAAAUGAACAUAACGAAAAAAAUGAACAUAACGAAAAAAAUGAACAUAACGAAAAAAAUAAUAAAAAAAACAUAAAUGACAAACCUUGUGAUAAUAUAACUACAGGAAAUUUAUAUACAUAUAAUAAAGUUUCAAAAAGAACUAAACAAAAUAAAAAAAAAAUGCAAAAAGCAUUGGAAGAAGAAAAAAACGCACAACCAAAAAGUAAAAUAUCAGAAGAAGAAUUUAAUACAUUAUUAAAUAUAUUAAAAACUAAAAACAAAACAAUUUAUUCUAUAGCACCAGAUGGAAAUUGUUUAUACGAAUCUAUUAUACACCAACUUAAAUUUAGAAUAAAAGAUUACAAAUAUUCUAUAGAUGAUUUUUUUAAAAUUAUAAAUGAACAAAAUUUUAAAUUAAAUAACAUUGAUUUAAAAAAUUAUGAAAAUAUAAGCGAUAUAAAUUUAACAUUAUUUCAAAGUAUCAAUCCUUAUGGCCUUAACUCAGAAAUAUUAAGAUUUGCAACCGCAAUAUAUAUGUUGCAAAAUAAAGAAUUAUUUAUUCAUUAUGUUUAUGACGAUGAAAACAGUACUAAGGAUAAUCACGAAACAUAUUUAAAAUAUUGUCAAGAAAUUAUAAACGGAGUUUACGGGUGAGAAAAAAAAAAAAUAAUAAUAAAUAAGAAAUAAACUUAUGAGCA
rnacentral:lncRNA from 1 species